GAUGAACGCUGGCGGCGUGCUUAACACAUGCAAGUCGAGCGAAGCACUUAUGAAAGAUUCUUCGGAUGAUUUCAUUUGUGACUGAGCGGCGGACGGGUGAGUAACGCGUGGGUAACCUGCCUCAUACAGGGGGAUAACAGUUGGAAACGACUGCUAAUACCGCAUAAGCGCACGGUGUCGCAUGACACAGUGUGAAAAACUCCGGUGGUAUGAGAUGGACCCGCGUCUGAUUAGCUGGUUGGUGGGGUAACGGCCUACCAAGGCGACGAUCAGUAGCCGACCUGAGAGGGUGACCGGCCACAUUGGGACUGAGACACGGCCCAAACUCCUACGGGAGGCAGCAGUGGGGAAUAUUGCACAAUGGGGGAAACCCUGAUGCAGCAACGCCGCGUGAGUGAAGAAGUAUUUCGGUAUGUAAAGCUCUAUCAGCAGGGAAGAAAAUGACGG
rnacentral:rRNA from 1 species